UACGUAGGGGGCUAGCGUUGUCCGGAUUUAUUGGGCGUAAAGAGCGUGUAGGCGGCCAUGUAGGUCCGGUGUGAAAACUCGAGGCUUAACCUCGAGAUGUCAUCGGAAACCAUUUGGCUAGAGUCCGGAAGAGGAGAGUGGAAUUCCUGGUGUAGCGGUGAAAUGCGCAGAUAUCAGGAAGAACACCAAUGGCGAAAGCAGCUCUCUGGGACGGUACUGACGCUGAGACGCGAAAAGCGUGGGGGAGCGAAACAGG
rnacentral:rRNA from 1 species